CGACAUUACGUCUGACCAGGUGUGUGAGCCAGCAAAGAUGAGUGGAGAUCAAGGGAAUGGAUUGAAACCCUGUCCAAACUCCCACCAAUAAGGGGCAGUUUGUGAAGACAGAUAAUCAAGAGAAGUCAGUUCCAGAUCCACCCUCCACACCAGACCUCUCUCUCAUAUGGAUGGCUGUCUACUAGCAUAUUGUGUUCUCUUCAGACUUCGGUGGAUCCAGAUAUUACUCAGGGACAUGAACACUUGAAUAUUGCAAGAAUAGAGAAAGUAAGAAUUACUUAAGAUUUUAGAAUUUAAUGUUAAUUGCUUAAACAUUACACAUAUAUAUAUACCGUUUUUCUUUUUUUGGUUUCCAAAGCACCUAAAAGCCAAUUCACCCUGCCACACUCCAACAGGCUAAACACAGUUCAAACAAAACAAAAUAAGCAUUAUUUAAAAUAGUUUUUGUGGCAGUGUGAACUGGCCAUAAUGCUGUAUGAUAGGUGAUUUGCUAUAAUACAUCUGCUCAUAAGCUAUUGCAUAUUAUGUUCGAUGAAUUAUUUUUAGUGGUUUGGUUAAGGGUGUGAUUAGCUGAUGAAUUAUUGUGGGAGCUUGUGAUUAGUUGAUGAAUUGUGUGCAUGGUUAAUAAUGGCUCUUAAAUAUAUAAAUGCAACGUGCUGAUUGCCUACGAAGACUUGCAUGUUUGUGCAUAAUGUUUUGAACCUGGAUGCUUACAGAAUGAUAUACAUAUUUAAAUAUAUGGCAAUGUAUUUAUUAUUAAUAUAUUUCAUGUGCUUCUGUAUGGGCUGAAUGCUUUCAUUCAUAUUUCGCUGUAUAUCCUAUGUUUUUAUUAAUAAUCUGGGUGUAUUACUGUUCAUAUUUGUUUGUUAAUAAAUUAACUGAAU